CGGCCAUGUAAGUCCGCUGUGAAAUCCGCGCGCUCAACGUGCGGGCGUGCAGCGGAUACUGCAUGGCUAGGGACCGGACGGCGUCGAGGCUAUUCCAGGGGUAGGAGUGAAAUCCUAAAAUCCCUGGAGGAGCACCUGUGGCGGAAGCGCUCGACGAGUACGGAUCCGACGGUGAGGGACGAAAGCCAGGGGAGCAAAGCGGAUUAGAUACCCGUGUAGUCCUGGCCGUAAACAUUGCCCGUUUGAUGUCAGUCAACCCUUGAGGUUGGCUGGUGCCGAAGUAAAAACGUUAAACGGGCCGCCUGGGUA
rnacentral:rRNA from 1 species